rnacentral:misc_RNA from 1 species
GAUGAAGAACGCAGUGAAAUGCGAUAAGUAAUGUGAAUUGCAGAAUUCAGUGAAUCAUCGAAUCUUUGAACGCACCUUGCACCCUUUGGCAUUCCGAAGGGUAUGCUCGUUUGAGUGUCAUUGUACUCUCACACUUCCGAUCUUUGGAUUGGGAGCGGUGGACUUGGGUGUUGCUGCUUACUGUGGCUCACCUCAAAUCGAUUCGUGCACCUCUUGGUUGGACAUAGUACGGCGUGAUAAGUGUCUUCGCCGGCACCUCAGUAGAGGGUGGCUGAUCGGGAGCUCUGCUUCAAACCGUCCUCGGACAACAACUGACAACUUGACCUCAAAUCGAGUAGGACUACCCGCUGAACUUAAGCAUAUCAAUAAGCGGAGGA